rnacentral:piRNA from 1 species
UGUCUACCAUCUCAAGUUCAAAGGUU